CCUAUGAUUGUUGUGGUGUGAGGGGUCCUUGCGGAUUGUUCGAUAUAUGCUAGGGGUCCAGAGCGCACAAAAGAUUGAGAACCACUGCAUUACAGCACUGAUAGACGUCCAACCCGAUAAGAUAAAUUACUGAAAUCUUAUGCUGAAGAAGACAUAGGCAAAGAAUUAUUCACUUACCGAUCGAUUCAGUCUAAACCUGUGACACAUUUGUGACGUACAAAUACGUCCUACAGAGCAGCAUUUUACAAAACCUUCAAAAUGAAAACAACGCAUCACUAAAAUUCAAACGCCAACUCAUGCCAAUACAAAUGCUUUAUUAUAGUUUUCCAUUCGCAGGUUGUUUGAUCGUUAACAUUGAUUUCUUUUCUCUUUUUUUAAAAUUUUUUAUAACAAAAACAAAAAGUUUAGCCUGCGUGUGGUGACAGGUGAGCAACCGUCUAUCAAAUCAGUACAAAAACCAACGCUGCUAAAACGAUCACUUGUGAUAAUAAGUGAACGCGUGUUCAGUUUGGCAUUUACAUAGCAUAAUUCCCUGUAUUAAGUGCGACUAUGUGCUGAGUUAUUAGUGCAAACACGGGACUUCAUUUGCGCAAAUAUCUAAUGUGCUGAUGAGACAUUAUUUCUAAGAGCCUAGAAUAAGUUCAGUUAAAUGACAGCACUUUUGUUUUCAUCUUAAUGUAUGAAGAUUCAGCUAUAAUUACAAAAUUCUUUGCUGUAUAGAUCAGCUCAAACACACACACACACACACACACACACACAUUAAUGCAUGAGCUUUAGAGAAUUACAGUAGGCUUUUUCUCUCCUAUCACUACGUCUUUACAACAACAAAGAGGCGACAAUGUUCAUGAAAAUGUCUCAUACAUACCUCAUACAUUUUUUUUUUUUUUUUAAAUCAUAAAACUGUAUAAACAAAAACAAAAGCAAGCAUCAUUUGCUCUUUAGCUAGGAUGUGUGCGUCUGUUUGUGUGUGUGUGUGUGUGUGGGGGGGGGGGGGGUAUGUAAAUACAAACUGUUUGUACAGUUUACAGCAAUGCUACAACGCAACUUAGCGAAGGAAGUAUACCGUAUAUUUAUAUACCAAAAAAAGAGAAAAAAGUGCCUAGUAAAAAUCAAACGUUAUUAAAAGACACAAACAGAAAACAGACUAAAUCACAUGCGAUUUGUGCAAUAGUGUGCGUUUUUGUGUACACUGAACGGUCAUCCGCAAUACUGUCAUUCACGUAACGUUUUUAACAACUAAAUAAAUACAAGUUGGAAAAACCCAGACGCUACACGGUGAUAUAAAAACAGAGGUGAUACAUUCAUGGCAUUUACAGCGAGAGCACGUUAUUCGAGUUGAACAUUUGAUUGUAUAGCGUAAUCGUCUUACCAAAAGGGACACGCCUGUUUUUAGAAGGCGUACACGUGUCCACGAAUGAGUCGAUUAUAUCUACUAUCUUGUCUUUAGUCACAUUAGCCUCACUAGAUGGCUAAAACAAGCUAGAAUACAACGUUCCUUUAUGCGAGUUUUUAUUUACUUACUUUACUUUGCUAUAUUUUACUAUAAAAUAAGCUCGGGUUUUAGCCUGUUGAUUACAGCACUGGUUUAUGGGUUAGCAUAUUUACUCAAACGCUAGUUUUGCAGUAUGUUCACAGUGUCGUAGUGACAACAAUUACAACUGCAAAGAUGCAGUUCAGUACAGAUGAGCAAUACCACCGACUAUCUUCCGCGAGCUAACAGUAAUAUCUGGAAAGCGAGACGUACUUCUGGUCGAAUAAAUAAAUAAAUAUAAAUAAAAGGUGUGAGGAUUUAUGUCCGUGAGAAACACGGACAUUACAAAUUACAGUGAAUUUUCUGUAUAUGUGCAUAAAUAUGACCUAAAACAUCAUCGGAUUUUCACACAAGUCGAUAAAGGCAACCCAAUUGGUUAUUUGUUUGACGGACCUUAAUCCAAUAGAAAUGUUGUGGAACGACCUGAAGCAAGUAGCCCACCAGUAUCCCAGAGUUGAAGCUGUUCUGUACUGAGGAACGGGAUAAAAUUCCUCCAAGUCGAUGUGCAGGACUGAUCAACAGAUACCGGAAACCUUUAGCAGCAGUUAUUGCUACACAAGGGGGUCACACCAGAUACUGAAAGCAAAGCUUCACAUACUUUUGCCACUCACAGAUUUCUAAUAUUGGAUCAUUUUCCUCAAUAAAUAAAUGAACAAGUAUAAUUUUUUCGUCUCAUUUGUUUAAUCGGGUUCUCUUUAUCUACUUUUAGGACUUGUGUGUGAAAAUCCGAUGAUGAUUUGGGUCAUAUUUAUGCAGCAAUGUUGAAAAUUCUAAAGGGUUCACAAUCUUUGCUUAUUAGCUGUAAUAAGAAUGCUGUAAGUGUGUAAGUUAAAUAAUCUCAUGUACUAUUACACACCUACACUAUAUUGUCUCUGUCCCAAAUACUAGAUUUCAUGUCUGAUUAAUAUUCUUUCUACAGCAACCAUUUAGGCUUUACUUAGAAGGAUUAGAUAAUAAUAAUAAUAGUAAUAAUUUUUAUGAACUACGCAGGAAGAGACCGAGGCAUGUCUUGGGGUUCAUUUCAACAUCUUUUACACUUAUGUAUGAAAAUAAUCUCGUUUUCUUAUUGAUACAGCGAUUUGUGCAAAUGUGUAGUCACGUGCCGAUCAUCAGUCAGACGAUAUAAUGUCUGACACAAUAUGGAAAUCCUAAAAGCAUCACAAUAUCAUCACUUCUCCUAGGCUGAUAUCGAGAGGUCGAGACACCAUACUUUUGGAUAAAUUCCAAGGAAUAUUAAAGGAGCGCGUAUCCUACGAUUCUGUACGUUUGGCAGACUGAGGAAGAACACGCACAGAAAUAUUUCUUAGCUACUUCGAUUAGCACCGUGUAAAAGUAUACUAGUUGCUGUUGAGUCUCCUGUUGAAUGUAGCUUCAGAAACAUGACACACAUCAACUAGCACAAAAAGAAAGAAAGAAAAAUCUCACAGAUGAACACCCCGUCGAAAACCAAGGCAACUAGAAGUAAAGUCGUAUCGGGAACUGGCGAUUUAGGCAACUUCUUUGUGUUUGUCAGCUGGUGGAAAGCAUACCCCCGUUUGCGUUUAGCAGACUAGUUUAGCUGACUAGACAAGCAGUGCAUGUAAGACACAAGGCUGUUUGCACUUCACUACAAGAGCUAACUGCAAUGCUACUCAAUGGCACAGGUGCAGCCGAACAUACAGAAAUGUUACGCAAUACUGUAGACAAUGUUCGAAUAUUAGGCAAUUUAAAAAAAAAAAUCAUAUCGGCACAAAUCUAUUGCUCUGAUAGUGAGCGCUUGGUACUUUGCUUGUGCUUAUUUUCUCUUUCAUCUUUAAUUCUAUCACUUUUAUUCUAUGAAAAGUUUUAUAUAUACACACACACACACACACACACAUAUAUAUAUAUAUAU
ensembl:lncRNA